ACAACUUCUCUCUUAGGAGGAAACUGCCAGAGGAGACGUGCCUCUGCUUCCCCUGGAUGGUGGGGAUGGAGGAUGUAUGCUCCGGUGCUGUGGCAGCAAUUCUGGUACCAUGAGGGAGAAAGUGGAGCUGUUGGUCCUCCCAGUGGAGCCCGAGGGUGAGACAGAAACCCCAAAGGACAUGGACGGGGCCCUUGGCGAGAUCAUUUUAACCCCUACAUCCAGCCUUUUCUGAGACUAAUACUCUGUUACAUGAGUAAACAAAAAUUCUCUUCUCUGCCCAAGCCAGUGUGAGUUGGUUUUCUGCCACUUGGAACAAAGAGUCUUACAUGGCUCAUCCUGGGUGUGUGAGGGGAGUCUGGGACAGAGUCAGGGAAGGGAAAAGUUGCAGACAGGAAACCAAACAACCCCAAAACAAGACAGGAGACAUCCACCAGGCACUUCAGGGGAUAGGAAGCUGACCGAGAUAAUGACCACAAAGUACUGACAGCAGGGACAGUGGCCACACUGACUGUGCCCGAAGUCACCCUGGAACAUCUCAUUUACUCCAAGCAACAGCACCCUGAGUUGGUUCCAUCAUCACCCCAACUUUGUAAAUGAGUCAGCUGAGGCUCUGGGAGGCUAAGUCAGUCACCCAAGGUCAAGGGCCAGUAAAAGAGACUCUGGUUUGGAGGUCUGGGCUGCCCCACUGGGAGGGCCUGCUCCCCCUGGGGUGUGGUCAGGGCUUGGCCAGGAAUGGGGUGCUGCCCCGAGAGCCUCCCUCUGGGGUCAUAUCCACACAGAGCCCAGCUGACUUGCCUCCCGAGACUGCCUCGGGGAGAGAGGUUGUUUCCCAGCCACCAGGCGCUACAGGCCUGCUGUCGGUGGGCGGGCUGGGUUACCUGGAGUCAGCCAGACUCAAGGCUAAGGGCAUGGCCCUCCACUCCGCCCGGUCUGCCCAAUUCAGGGGGGAUCCCCAAACCACCCACAGGUUUGAUGUGCUAUAAGGACUCACAGAACUCUGGAAGGGUAAUCACUCGCACCCUGCUUAUUACAGGCAAAGCAGUGAAGGAGCAACAGCCCCAAGGGAGGCGCCGAUGGCAGAGUGGGAGGGGCAGCUGAGCACGGAGCCCGGUGACCUCUGCACGGAGUCCUGGGCCACAGCACCCCUCCGGCAAAAUAUGUGACAGUAGGCCCCGAGGGUGCCCCAAGGGUGCCAGCCGGGAAGCCCACUGCGCUCUGGUGUCCAGGGUUUUUAUGUGAAGCUUCAUUACACAGGCAGGACCAGUUGAUUUAUCCACUUGGUGGAACUCAGUCUCCAGCUCCCCCCGCCCCCAGAGGUGGACUGACAUCAUGGGCUCAAAGCCCCGACCGGCCACUCACAUGACAUGCCCCCCACUGAGUCAUUCCACUAGUAUAAACUACGUAUGUGGUCUUGGGGGCUCCUGAAUACCAAAAACACUCCUGUCACUUUGUCCAGACAUCUCUUCUGAGGCCAGCUUCCUUACUCUGUAGGCUUACAACAGGGCCCUACCUUGUCCUGAGCUCUCUCAGGGUCCGUCACUCUCUCAUGGGGAGUUCCUGGGGUCAGCUCCCCGGGAAAGGUGCAAGAAUGAGGUGUAGGGGUGGUAUCACAGCCAGCAAGGGAAGUGGGAGACCAGGAAGGCCAGAGCAUGGGCCUCUGCCUCCAGGUCAAGCCCCGUCGUGGGAACUGGCCCCUCUGAAGGCCAGAGGUGGCUUUGCAAGCUCUCGGGAGGGCGUGAGAUAGGCCCCCAAAGGAGCCCAGGACCCGGGAGAGUGCCAUCGCCACAGAGGCACAGGCCUGGGGGCGGCUGGCCCCAGAGACAGAAGACCUGUGGGACAGACCUGAACGGAACUUUCGGCCUGGAGCCACACGUGGUGGGACCCCGUGGGCGGGCCAGAACCCGCACCGCCGCCUGGCUGCCCCACAGGGGCACGUGGGAGGAAGCUUGGCUUCUCUGGAGCUGCCACGCUGGGGAAGGUUCAUUAGCAGCAUUACCAUGGCAACAACUGAGGGCUGCAUGGUGUUAGUGAGGAGCCCCCACCUCCAGGCUUCAAAGCUGGCCUGGGGGCUGGAACAUCGCUUGGCUCCCCUAUCCCCAUCAUUGCACGAUUACUGGAUAGUAGAAAUCCAGGUGUUGGGCAUCUGAGCUGCUUUAUCAAGUGGAUUUUGCAAUGGACUCCAAACCACGAAGCUUUGCCUCAGGCUGUGAGGCCCGGAAGUGCCAGUGGCCAGUGACAAAGCAUACAUAUGCGGACAACGAUGGAUGAAAUGGACAUUGAUUUUUACAUGCCCGAGAGAGUUGGGCUUAAACUGGCAGAUCUGUCAGGCCUUUCCCAGCACAAACACCACAAAGCUGUUUCCUGUUACUCUCACGUGCCUCACUCACCCGAAGCUCAAGCUGUUUGAGGGCAGGGCCUUGCUCGCCUCUGCGCUGGCAGCAGGGCCCAGCCUAAUCAACUAUUCAUGCAGAAAGGAGAGCAGUGAAGGGGCACCACUCAGUGGCAGCCGCAGCUCUGAGGUCCAGCACGGGGCUGGAGUCACCGUUUCCGCACAGUGUGCCCUGGACACGUCCCUUAGCUUCUCUGAACUCUUGCCUGUCUCAGGCACCCGGCACAUAACAUCCAAUACAUGUGAGUUGCUAUUAAAAACAUGGGUAAUUUCAUAUCUUAAAAUAUUGUAUAUUGCUUAAAUGGUUUCAUGCUGGCUCGCAUUAAAAAUGAUUCCCAAGUGAAGAUGACAAAGGGGAAAUAUUCGUUAUUUAGUUCUUCCCUUACAUUAAGCUAUCAUAAUAAAGUACA